rnacentral:rRNA from 1 species
AACACGUAAAGAACCUGCCCUCAGGUCUGGGAUAACCACGAGAAAUCGGGGCUAAUACCGGAUGGGUCAUCGGACCGCAUGGUCCGAGGAUGAAAGGCGCUUCGGCGUCGCCUGGGGAUGGCUUUGCGGUGCAUUAGCUAGUUGGUGGGGUAAUGGCCCACCAAGGCGACGAUGCAUAGCCGACCUGAGAGGGUGAUCGGCCACACUGGGACUGAGACACGGCCCAGACUCCUACGGGAGGCAGCAGUAGGGAAUCUUCCACAAUGGACGAAAGUCUGAUGGAGCAACGCCGCGUGAACGAUGAAGGCCUUCGGGUCGUAAAGUUCUGUUGUAAGGGAAGAACAAGUGCCGCAGGCAAUGGCGGCACCUUGACGGUACCUUGCGAGAAAGCCACGGCUAACUACGUGCCAGCAGCCGCGGUAAUACGUAGGUGGCAAGCGUUGUCCGGAAUUAUUGGGCGUAAAGCGCGCGCAGGCGGCCUCUUAAGUCUGAUGUGAAAGCCCCCGGCUCAACCGGGGAGGGCCAUUGGAAACUGGGAGGCUUGAGUAUAGGAGAGAAGAGUGGAAUUCCACGUGUAGCGGUGAAAUGCGUAGAGAUGUGGAGG